CAGCCGCCGCGGGAAUACGGAGGGUGCUAGCGUUGUUCGGAAUCACUGGGCGUAAAGGGCGCGUAGGCGGCCUGUUAAGUCGGAUGUGAAAGCCCGGGGCUCAACCCCGGAACUGCAUCCGAGACUGGCAGGCUUGAGACCGGGAGAGGAGGGUGGAAUAUCCAGUGUAGAGGUGAAAUUCGUAGAUAUUGGAUGGAACACCGGUGGCGAAAGCGGCUCUCUGGCCCGGAUCUGACGCUGAGGCGCGAAAGCGUGGGGAGCAAACAGGAUUAGAUACCCCCGUAGUCCCUGUCUCUUAUAA
rnacentral:rRNA from 1 species